AAAUUCUUGGACAUAUUUUUAACCAUACCAAGACUCUGAUUAUAAAGUGCUGGAAAACAUGGAGUAUAGGGUUUCCUGGAGUUUGUUAUUCAUUGUUUGUUUCCAUGGAGUUUGGAGUGAGAUCAAACUGGAGCAGUCUACUUCUGAGGUGAAGAGACCUGGAGAGAGAGUGAAGAUGUCAUGCAUCAUAUCUGGCUAUACCCUGAGAGACUACUAUAUCAGCUGGAUACGACAGAGGCCGGGGAGAACUCUGGAGUGGAUUGGAAGGAUGGACACAGGCUCAAACUCUGCUCACUAUGCCAGUACUUUCCGAAGCCGUUUUAUCAUUACUGAAGAAAACUCCGGCAGCAGACAGUACCUUGAGAUCAGGAGUCUGACAGCAGAAGAUUCUGCCGUUUACUUCUGUGCCCGACAAAGCACAGUGACAGAAAACAGAGGAAGAGCUGUACAAAAACCCCAACUACUAAAGGGAUCUCACUGACUUAUGGUUUUUCUCUUCACCUGAAAAGUGACCUUGUUGUAUACAAGUCACAGAAAUUUUACUGUAAAACAGAUGAGAAAAUAUCUAUUACUCAUCAUUUCAAUAUUAUAUAAUGAUGCUAAAUUAACACUGUAAAAAGCACACUUGAAUAUAGUCUGGGAAGAUUAGCAAUUUACUCUAUACUCCAUAUUUUCCAUAUUGAAUUUUGAAUAUGUGAGAUUCACAUACAGUGAAUCACUAGAUACACUGGAUCAGACAGGAUCUUGGAAAAGCGGUGGAAGGGAUUCUGACUACAUUACUAUCACAUAAUGUACUAGCACAUAAUAUACUAUGACAAAUCAGGACAGGAAUGGAGAUCCACAGUGGCUGUUGAGUUGUUUGAGUUGAUCUACAAACUCAACUACAAACUAUGCUACAGUAAAAAUUAUACUACCCCAAAAUACCUACUUCCAUCUGAUUUUGUCACAAAAACUGAAGUGGACUCAAGAGCACAACUCAGAAGAAUAAAGGCCCUGUGUGUUUAAAGUGAUCACCAGCUAUGUGCUACAUGCAAAGUGCAGGCGGGGAUUGGCUCCAGGGGUCAGCGAGAACAGGCAUCCAAAACCACACUCCAGUAAGGGAUUCCAGGGAAGGUCUGUACGAAAGGAAACAGUGAGCACAGUGAGCAAAAACACAAGCAAAGGAGCCAGCAGCCAUAUUUCUGGGGCUUAGACAGAUCUGAAAGAUUGAAACUAUCCGGUGAGUGAUAGGUCUCUAGGUGAAAAUGCCUUGUUGAUGCUGGAUGUUAGAGCCCAUCACCAAAUGGAGCUGAUAGAAGUGCAACAUAGUUUGGUUGUAAUCACUCAUCACAGCACCUCUGAUGGCACAAGAUAUCAGCCUGUAAGCAGAUGGGUAAUAGUAGAAGACCACACCAAGUGCCAUUCCAGCUAAAAACAAGAAGCUAAGGCUACACACAGGACACAGGCUCACCAAACUGGACAACAGUUCAAAUCAAUGAAAUGUUAUUUAUUUACUUUAUAUAAUCCGUUUAUGAAUCAGUGGUUAUAAGACCUGGAGGACUGCAUGCAUUGAACUGUACAGCUUUGAAUUCACCAUCAGUUGCUUCCUACAGUAACUCA